ensembl:lncRNA
UAUGUUUUGUAUUAGGAAUGCACACUUUGGAUUUCUGGACUGCAAUUCUGAUAAUUCUCCUUUCUGUGACUCCCACCUGCAGGAUCCAGACCUUACAGAGAGCUAAACUGUGCUGACCGAGAGACAACAUCCAGCUGGCAGGCUUCACGCAUUGAACAGAUCUAACUUCCUGUUUGAAAAAGAAGCUUCCGAGCAAUCAUCAGGGCAGCACAUCCAUCUAUAUUGAAACAAUUUUUGAUGCAGACCAGAUUGCAGGAGACUUAGCUGCAUUGGCUCUAUUGCUUAAUGAAUUGGAAGCAGAAAUAGUCGACAUCCGUUACAGACUGAGUCAUGACUGGAUGGCAGAGAAAAAUAUCCUGUAUCGCUUUGCUAAACAAGGAUCGACGUUUUGGGAAGCAAAACAAUUUUGUGAGAAUGAUAAAGCUAAAAUAGCUAAGAUUGAAAAUGCUGAGGAGGAGGAGUUCAUAGAAAAACUUGUCGUUGACUCGUUUAACACAUACUGGCUUGGAGCAAUCAAAAAACAUAACAAAUGGAUAUGGGCGGUGGACAACACUGAAGUGACAAAAACAUACUGGAUGGAUGGUAAACCAACUGUGUCAGGAAUUCCUCCAGCAGGAAGACCCAUCUGUCUUACUCAUCAAAAGUACUGCAAGAAUAAAAGAAAGUGUUGGAUGGAUGAGCCAUGCACUGAACGGAGAAGAAUAAUCUGUAGGAAAAAGCCUCAGAAGAAGUGGAUGAGCUGACAAGUUGGCUGAACAGGGACAGAAUGAUAUUGCAUCAAAGCCAGUGAAUGAGCCCUGCCAGUCAAGCUACAGACCUCACUACCAGCUUGCGAGUCUAUACGACUCAGAUCUUGUAGAAGUCUCUGACAUCAGCAUUCAAAACCACCUUCCUUGAGAAUUCAAUUUGCAUUUAGAUGGCUAUAAAGCUGGAGUGGGGGAUAUGCUUUGUCUGUUUUAAUUGCAUGUAGGGAUGACAAGCAUUAAAAAAAAGAUCUGGAAACAUUAAGUCUUUGGAGAAGGGGUCACUUUGGUUCAGAGCUUAGAAUAGGCGCUGUGCUUCAGUUCAGUUCUAAAGAGAUUCCCAUUUCUGUUUCCUGAAAGUCUGGAAGUCUCCCUGUGGAUAAUAAUGGUGAAAGCACCAUGUCCCCUGUCAACCUCAGGGAAAACCUCCAGAGAAGAAGUAGUCCACACCCUGUGUGGCUCUCUUUUCCACUGUCAAACUGUCUUAGGAUCACAAAACUCUUCUGACACAGUACCUUAGCUGCAGUUUGACCAAAGGACUAGUGGUUGUAUUCCUACCUUUGAUGUGGACUCUUUGCUCCCUUUGCUCCAGCCUAGAAUUCCAUUUCAGACUUUUGGGACUGAAUUAAGCUGUUGAGUGGUGGUUAGCUUGCAGCCUAUGAAGAUGUCUAGACCCCUUUCACGCAUACUAUGUAUGGCCAAACCAGCUGUCCGCCCUUGUACUGUAUUUUUCUGCAUCUGAUUUUUCCUGCCUAAAUAUAAAACAUUAAUUGGUCCUUAUUGAAAUUACUUUUGGUUUGGCUGGUUCUCCAAAUUAUCCGGAUCAUCUGGAAUCCUGAUACUGUCUUCUGGUCUAUCUGUGGUCCCUCCCCCUUUUAGCUUUAUGCUUUUCAGUUUACUGUACCUUGAUUCAUACUACCACACAUUCUUCCAGCAGCUGUCUGUGCCGUCAUACAUACAGGUUCUCUGCUUCUGCAAAAGCUGCACAGGAACCAUGUAA